CGCCGCGUGAGUGAUGAAGGUUUUCGGAUCGUAAAGCUCUGUUGUUAGGGAAGAACAAGUGCAAGAGUAACUGCUUGCACCUUGACGGUACCUAACCAGAAAGCCACGGCUAACUACGUGCCAGCAGCCGCGGUAAUACGUAGGUGGCAAGCGUUGUCCGGAAUUAUUGGGCGUAAAGGGCUCGCAGGCGGUUUCUUAAGUCUGAUGUGAAAGCCCCCGGCUCAACCGGGGAGGGUCAUUGGAAACUGGGAAA
rnacentral:rRNA from 1 species